AUUGAACGCUGGCGGCAUGCCUUACACAUGCAAGUCGAACGGCAGCACGGAGCUUGCUCUGGUGGCGAGUGGCGAACGGGUGAGUAAUAUAUCGGAACGUACCCAAGAGUGGGGGAUAACGUAGCGAAAGUUACGCUAAUACCGCAUACGAUCUAAGGAUGAAAGUGGGGGCUCGCAAGACCUCAUGCUCCUGGAGCGGCCGAUAUCUGAUUAGCUAGUUGGUGAGGUAAAGGCUCACCAAGGCAUCGAUCAGUAGCUGGUCUGAGAGGACGACCAGCCACACUGGAACUGAGACACGGUCCAGACUCCUACGGGAGGCAGCAGUGGGGAAUUUUGGACAAUGGGGGCAACCCUGAUCCAGCAAUGCCGCGUGAGUGAAGAAGGCCUUCGGGUUGUAAAGCUCUGUUGUCAGGGAAGAAACGGUGAAGGCUAAUAUCCUUUGCUAAUGACGGUACCUGAAGAAUAAGCACCGGCUAACUUCGUGCCAGCAGCCGCCGUAA
rnacentral:rRNA from 1 species